rnacentral:lncRNA from 1 species
GAGCACAUCAGAUCAGAAAGUCCAAGUCGGCAACACCAAAACCCAAAACUGAGCCAUUGCAAUUAAAUCGCCACAUUAGCACAGUUGGCCACCACAUGUAUAAAACCUCUCUGUAUUGAUUGUGGAGGGAGACUACAAUGGAAAACUGUAAUGCACAAUAUUUGUGUUCAGUCCCUGUCUCGCCAGCUUGUUUAUUUAUUGCAUUACAUUGUUGCAUUUUAUUUUCAUACCAUGUACAGUACCAGUCAAAAGUUUGGACACACCUACUCAUUCAAGGUUUUUUUUUUUUUUUUUUUUUUUUACUAUUCUACAUUGUAGAAUUAUAGUGAAGGCAAUCAAAACUAUGAAAUAACACAUGGAAUAAUGUAGUAACCAAAAAAGUGUUAAACAAAGUCAAUCCACUCUUUAGUUUCUGGGUCACUGGGUAGAGAGAAGACUGCAGUCAGACACUGGGAUCUGUUGUGGUAGUGUGUGAUGUGAGGUGCUGGUGAUGGUGCAGGCUAACUUGGAUGUGGAGCUACAAGGAGUAUUGGUUAAGCUGUGUGUUUUAUGAGUCCCAUAGGGAGUUGAUUAGGUGAACUGAACUGCAGAUGUUUACCUAGGUACUGUCUGUCUGUGUAACAGUGUAACUGUUCUCCAGUCUUGUGAUGCCUGUGGCCAUGAAGACCGCCGGGAGAUCCAGGUCUGAUUCAGCCAACAAGGAAGGACAAGGCCGAGUUUGUACCCGGACUCAUCAUCAACAAUGGGCAUCAAGGGGCCCGAGGAGCCAAUCAGCAUGUUGUAGCUCUCCCUGGGGCUGGGCUGGGCUGGGUGUUGGAGCGAUAGGACAGAGGCCAACGCAGUCCAAGGAGAGCGUGUUGAACUACCAGGAAGCCCUGAGACAACAGAGGAACAGGAAACCAAUGACUCAGAUUAGUGACAGACUGCAAUAUUUUGACGGGAAGAGAUCAGGCGAGAGCGAAGUCAGCACUUUUCCAAGAUCCAGGAAAGAAAGGAGCGAUAAAGACAGGAGAGGAGGAAGAGGGAUUGCUACGAUGCCAAGAUCGAGGCAGAAAUGAAGGUGAUCUGAACAGAAUGCACAGGACCAAGGAGGAGGAGUACGUGAACCCAGAGUCCAGGGACAGGUGACAGCCACAGGGCUCUGUAGGCAGGAGUGGAGGACCUAACCCCAGGCAGGAGGACUGGGUACCCUCUACCCAGCGAGUAACAGGUAGCCCAACUCUCACAACCACUCAGUAAAGGUCUGAGUUUUCACUUUACUUUGUGUGUAUGUGCAUUGAUGAGUCACCCCUCUCAUCUGUCCCUGCUGGUUUUUCCUUGGCCCAGCUGUCCCAGUUUGCCGGAGGCAACGUGUUCAGUGAUCAGGACACUCCACAGCAGCUCCAGGAGCAGGACACGUUCAAGCAGAGGUGUAACAUGCUCACUAUACACUGGAUACUGUAAAAUAUGACUUGGUGUUGUAUUGAGCCAUCUGAAUGUAAGUUGGACUCUCUCCUUUAUGCAGAGCCAGAAGGAUC